rnacentral:rRNA from 1 species
AUAACUGGAGAGUUUGAUCCUGGCUCAGAACGAACGCUGGCGGCGUGCCUAACACAUGCAAGUCGAACGCGAAAGGGACUUCGGUCCUGAGUAAAGUGGCGCACGGGUGAGUAACACGUGGAUAACCUACCCUGUGAUCUGGGAUAACAUUCCGAAAGGAGUGCUAAUACCGGAUAAGCCCACGAUCUCUUCGGAGUUUGUGGGAAAAGAUUUAUUGUCACAGGAUGGGUCCGCGGUCCAUUAGCUAGUUGGUAGGGUAAUGGCCUACCAAGGCUACGAUGGAUAGCUGGUCUGAGAGGAUGAUCAGCCACACUGGAAC